rnacentral:rRNA from 1 species
ACGUAGGGACCAAGCGUUGUUCGGAUUUACUGGGCGUAAAGGGCGCGUAGGCGGUCUAUUAAGUUGGAUGUGAAAACUCUGGGCUUAACUCAGAGCCUGCAUUCAAAACUGAUAGGCUGGAGUUCUGGAGGGGAUAGCGGAAUUCCUGGUGUAGCGGUGAAAUGCGUAGAUAUCAGGAGGAACACCGGUGGCGAAGGCGGCUAUCUGGACAGAAACUGACGCUGAGGCGCGAAAGCUAGGGGAGCAAACAGGA